AUGGCGAUCUCCCUCGCGCAGUAUGAGUGCCACCUCAGGCUCCAGCACCACAAGAUCAUCGGGAUUGAUCUCGAGUACAACAACGAGCCUGAAGCGACGCAGAAACUCACCCUCGUCCAACUCUCCGUCGGCAAGACUCAGCCGGUGCUGCUCUUCCAACUUAGCGCCGCUGGAAGGUGCACCGUCUUCGACAACUUCCUCGCCGACCCCAGGUACACCUUUCCUGGCUUCUCCAUCGACAGCGACAAAACCAGGCUAGAGCGCGUCAAUCUGGAGGUCGCCAACUUUGUCGACAUCCAAAAGGAGUGGAGGGUGCCUGAGGCAACCAAGGAGUUGGACUCCCUUGGAGACACCUUCGGCAUGCUCAUCGACGACUACUACAACAACAUGAAGAAGAAGAUCACCAACGAUGAACACAGGCGCUAG
rnacentral:rRNA from 1 species